rnacentral:sRNA from 1 species
UGCCUAAACCUCGUUUUACGGGGCAUGGCGAUGAAAUCGUAGGACACACUGAACCCAUCGUUCAGCGACGUGUCCUACGUCAUAUCUCGAAAGGGGUAUGGAUAGCAGCAAUGCUAUC